rnacentral:rRNA from 1 species
UACGAAGGGGGCUAGCGUUGUUCGGAAUCACUGGGCGUAAAGGGCGCGUAGGCGGCCGAUCAAGUCGGGGGUGAAAGCCUGUGGCUUAACCACAGAAUGGCCUUCGAUACUGUUUGGCUUGAGACCGGAAGAGGUUAGUGGAACUGCGAGUGUAGAGGUGAAAUUCGUAGAUAUUCGCAAGAACACCAGUGGCGAAGGCGGCUCACUGGCCCGAUACUGAUGCUGAGGCACGAAAGCGUGGGGAGCAAACAGG